AUCUAGCUGACGAGUCCCAAAGAGGACUAGACGCGUGUCCUGGAU
rfam:Schistosoma rodhaini strain Burundi genome assembly, scaffold: SROB_scaffold0012302